rnacentral:misc_RNA from 1 species
GAUGAAGAACGUAGCGAAAUGCGAUAAGUAGUGUGAAUUGCAGAAUUCAGUGAAUCAUCGAAUCUUUGAACGCACAUUGCGCCCCUUGGUAUUCCAUGGGGCAUACCUGUUCGAGCGUCAUUUGUACCUUCAAGCUUUGCUUGGUGUUGGGUGUUUGUCUCGCCUUUGCGUGUAGACUCGCCUUAAAAUAAUUGGCAGCCGGCGUAUUGAUUUCGGAGCGCAGUACAUCUCGCGCUUUGCACUCAUAACGACAGCGUCCAAAAGUACAUUUUACACUCUUGACCUCGGAUCAGGUAGGGAUACCCGCUGAACUUAAGCAUAUCAAUAAGCGGAGGA